rnacentral:rRNA from 1 species
CAAUAGCGUAUAUUAAAGUUGUUGCGGUUAAAAAGCUCGUAGUUGGAUUUCUGCUGAGGAUGACCGGUCCGCCCUCUGGGCAGGUAUCUGGCUCAGCCUUGGCAUCUUCCUGAAGAACGCAGCUGCACUUGACUGUGUGGUGCGGUAUUUAGGACAUUUACUUUGAGGAAAUUAGAGUGUUUCAAGCAAGCGCACGCCUUGAAUACAUUAGCAUGGAAUAAUAAGAUAGGACCUCGGUUCUAUUUUGUUGGUUUCUAGAACUGAGGUAAUGAUUGAUAGGGAUAGUUGGGGGCAUUCGUAUUUAACUGUCAGAGGUGAAAUUCUUGGAUUUGUUAAGGACGGACUACUGCGAAAGCAUUUGCCAAGGAUGUUUUCAUUGA